rnacentral:rRNA from 1 species
UGGGGAAUAUUGGACAAUGGGCGCAAGCCUGAUCCAGCAAUGCCGCGUGGAUGAAGAAGGUCUUCGGAUUGUAAAGUCCUUUCGACGGGGACGAUGAUGACGGUACCCGUAGAAGAAGCCCCGGCUAACUUCGUGCCAGCAGCCGCGGUAAUACGAAGGGGGCUAGCGUUGCUCGGAAUUACUGGGCGUAAAGGGCGCGUAGGCGGCCCUACAAGUCAGGCGUGAAAUUCCCGGGCUCAACCUGGGGGCUGCGCUUGAGACUGUGGGGCUAGAGGCCGAGAGAGGGUGGUGGAAUUCCCAGUGUAGAGGUGAAAUUCGUAGAUAUUGGGAAGAACACCGGUGGCGAAGGCGGCCACCUGGCUCGGUACUGACGCUGAGGCGCGACAGCGUGGGGAGCAAACAGG